rnacentral:rRNA from 1 species
CAGCAGCCGCGGUAAUACGAAGGGUGCAAGCGUUACUCGGAAUUACUGGGCGUAAAGCGUGCGUAGGUGGUUGUGUAAGACAGGUGUGAAAUCCCCGGGCUUAACCUGGGAACUGCGCUUGUGACUGCACAGCUAGAGUAUGGCAGAGGGGGGUGGAAUUCCACGUGUAGCAGCGAAAUGCGUAGAGAUGUGGAGGAACACCGAUGGCGAAGGCAGCCCCCUGGGCCAAUACUGACGCUCAUGCACGAAAGCGUGGGGAGCAAACAGGAUUAGAUACCCCGGUAGUCCCUGUCUCUUAUAC